rnacentral:rRNA from 1 species
GUCGGAUUAGCUAGUUGGUGAGGUAAUGGCUCACCAAGGCGACGAUCCGUAACUGGUCUGAGAGGAUGAUCAGUCACACUGGAACUGAGACACGGUCCAGACUCCUACGGGAGGCAGCAGUGGGGAAUAUUGGACAAUGGGCGAAAGCCUGAUCCAGCCAUGCCGCGUGUGUGAAGAAGGUCUUCGGAUUGUAAAGCACUUUAAGUUGGGAGGAAGGGCAGUUACCUAAUACUUAUCUGUUUUGACGUUACCGACAGAAUAAGCACCGGCUAACUCUGUGCCAGCAGCCGCGGUAAUACAGAGGGUGCAAGCGUUAAUCGGAAUUACUGGGCGUAAAGCGCGCGUAGGUGGUUUGUUAAGUUGGAUGUGAAAUCCCCGGGCUCAACCUGGGAACUGCAUUCAAAACUGACAA